rnacentral:rRNA from 1 species
UCACCUACGGGGCGCAGCAGUGGGGAAUAUUGGGCAAUGGGCGCAAGCCUGACCCAGCAACGCCGCGUGAAGGAAGAAGGCUUUCGGGUUGUAAACUUCUUUUGUCAGGGACGAAGCAAGUGACGGUACCGAAUGAAUAAGCCACGGCUAACUACGUGCCAGCGGCCGCGGUAAUACGUAGGUGGCAAGCGUUAUCCGGAUUUACUGGGUGUAAAGGGCGUGUAGGCGGGAGAGCAAGUCAGACGUGAAAUUCCAGGGCUCAACCCUGGAACUGCGUUUGAAACUGUUCUUCUUGAGUG